rnacentral:rRNA from 1 species
CACCGGAAAAGCGCAGAGGUGUGCUCCCCGUAAGGUCGGUGUACAGGUGGUGCAUGGUUGUCGUCAGCUCGUGUCGUGAGAUGUUGGGUUAAGUCCCGCAACGAGCGCAACCCUUGUCCUGUGUUGCCAGCACGCAAUGGUGGGGACUCAUAGGAGACUGCCGGGGUCAACUCGGAGGAAGGUGGGGAUGACGUCAAAUCAUCAUGCCCCUUAUGUCUUGGGCUUCACGCAUGCUACAAUGGCCGGUACAAAGGGCUGCGAUACCGCGAGGUGGAGCGAAUCCCAAAAAGCCGGUUUCAGUUCGGAAUGGCGUUUGCAACUUGACCCCAUGAAGUUGGAGUCGCUAGUAAUCGCAGAUCA